rnacentral:sRNA from 1 species
AGAGGAGGAAACAAAAUGAACGAAGUUCAUUUUUUAUAAAUGUUUCCGACGAAUAGCCGCCGACCGAAGGGAGGGGGCAAUACAUAU